rnacentral:rRNA from 1 species
UACGAAGGGGGCUAGCGUUGUUCGGAAUUACUGGGCGUAAAGCGUACGUAGGCGGAUUUGUAAGUCAGGGGUGAAAUCCCGGGGCUCAACCUCGGAACUGCCUUUGAUACUGUAAGUCUCGAGUCCGAUAGAGGUGAGUGGAAUUCCUAGUGUAGAGGUGAAAUUCGUAGAUAUUAGGAAGAACACCGGUGGCGAAGGCGGCCCACUGGCUCGACACUGACGCUGAGGUGCGAAAGCGUGGGGAGCAAACAGG